rnacentral:rRNA from 1 species
GCCUAGUCAAUAAAUCUUCUAAAGACACCUGAUCCCAUCUCAUCUUGGAAGCUAAGCUGGAUCAAGCUUGGUUAGUGCUUGGAUGGGAGACCAUCAACAAAUACCAGGUGCUGUAGGUU